AUUGAAUUAGUCUGUAAUCACACUGCUAAUAAAGACAUACCCGAGACUGGGUGACUUAUAAAGGAAAGAUGUUUAAUUGAUUCACAGUUCCACAUGACUGGGGAGGCCUCACACUCAUGACAGAAGGUGAAUGAGGAGCAAAAUCACAUCUCACAUGACAUCAGGCAGGGGGACCUGUGCAAGGGAACUCCCCUUUAUAAGCCCAUCAGAUCUCAAGAGACUCACUCACUGCAACAAGAACAGCGUGGGGAAAACCUGCCUCCCUUUAUUCCAUUACCUCCCACCAGGUCCCUCCCAUGAUAUGGGGAUUAUUACAGUUCAAGGCUCGAGUCAGGAGCAGCCUGUGAUCUCAUCCACUGUGUCUCUUUAGUGUCCUCUGCUCUGUGAGUUUUCUCAGUCUUGUUUUUAUGACCCUGACAGUUUUGAAGAGUACUGGUAAGAUAUUUUACAGAAUGUCCCUCAGUUUGGGUUUGUCUGGUGUUUUCUUAUGGUUAUUCUGGGGUUAUGGGGGUUAUGGUUUUUUAGGAAGAAUACUACAGAGGUGACGCGCGCUUCCCACUAUGUCCGGUCAAGGCUGUGUGAUCGGACCAUGACUGGUCACAGGAGAUGUUAACAUUGCUCGUUCGGUUAAGGUGGUGUCUGUUAGGACUCUCCAUGGUGAAGUUAUUUUUUCCCCUUUAUAUACUCUUUGUUAGGAGCUAGUCAUUAACCAGCACACAUGGGAUCGGGAGAGAUUAACCUCUAUCCCCUGGAGGAAGUCUUCCUUUCUUCUAGAGUUUUCCUCACUUCCAUGUCUUCUUGGGGAUAAGGGCUUUAAGGAUUAUAAGAUUAUUUUCCUUUGAAGCGAUGUUAAAGUUAUGCUGUUAAAGUUCAGAAAUUAAAUCUGUCCUGCACUUUGUUUAGAACAUUCUCCAUCUUUUAACAUGAGCUUGUAUGAUAGAGAGAGAGAGGGAGGAGGAAGAGAGAGACGGAUUUUCAUUUGGAGGGUUCUAAAGUUCUUGCUAUUUAUAUUAACUCCAGUACUACAGAUGCAAUACCCUUUCCUGAGCCGAAAGCAGUUUUAGCAACUGCCUAUUGUAUCUUAAGACAAGAGACCCAAUAGUAGUUUAAUUCACAUAACUGUAGAAUCAUAGACCACUAGCGCUAGGCACAAUCAUCUGCUCUGGUCUUCUCCCUUUACAGAUGGGGAAACUGAGGCACAGAGAGGCAGCAUGACUUUCCUGAGGUUGCUCAGCCAGUCAUUGGGAACCUGGGCCUCCUGCUUCUCAGGGUUCUUUUGCUGUAAAUCCCUCUCUGACCUCCCUAGUAACUGAGGGAAUUUACGCUGUCUCCCCUCACCCCACCCUCACCCAUCCAGGCUCUCUCCAGGGCCUCCCAUUUCUCUCUGUAGAUCAGGAAUAAGACUUCUAUCCAGGCCAUACUUAGGAUAAUGCAGGACUGCAAACACCCUCACACCUCAGUCCCACUCAGCUCACACCCACCACCCUGAGGGCAGAAGGACCUCUCAGCUUCAGCCACUUGCUUGCAUCCCAUCCCACUAACCUCAGCUGUGGCCUGCAAUUCCCAUAACUCUUGUAUCCAGGCUCUGCUAAGGGAUGGAGAUGCUGUGGUUUUAAAGUGGAAGCUCUCUAGUAAAUUUGGAGUUCAUUCUCAGAGACUGCUGUCCCAGCAAAAAGGAGGUCAAUUCCCAAAGACGACCAAGCCCUCUUAAAGCCAUAGAGGGACUAAGCAAGUAGGUCUUAUCUUCUCAAGAGGUGGUAUGACUCAGAAGUUGCAUUUGGGAGAGGAAACAGGAAAAACAUUGACCCCUUCCUCUUACCACCCACUUCCCCUGGGGUUAGAAAGUGAAGGGGAGAACAUCUGACUGAAUUUGCCCUGCUCAUGAGACAUGUCAUUUCUCCCAGGGAAGUUAAAGUGAAGCUUAAAGUCCCAUUGGGCUCCUGUGUUCAAAGGCAGUCCAAUGAUCAAAUUCAUAUGGGGAUGCUUUCUAGUGACUCCCUGGACAGUGAGGUUUACAGGAGGUCAGGGGAAGAGCUUUCUCAUGCCAGAGGCUAAGUGGUAUCCAGGGCUUCAGUCACAAUAUCUGGCUGGCUGGAUUUUUCACAUUGCCCAUUUGGACAGUCUUGGCUGCAGCUGGGGAGGCUACAGGAAGCAGAGCCGAAGGCAGUAAAAGCCUCCAUGGAAGCAGCUGCAACUGUGGCUUCAAGGGCACCUCCUGCAUGAGGCUUCUACAGAUUGGGCACGUGAUGACAUGAGUAAAGGUGGGGUUUGGCUGCCUCUGUUUCUCUCUGGGGUUGUGCCUCAUCCACAUAUCUCUCUUGGUCUGGGAUCUUCAGUAUUCAUGCCCUUUCCCGCCAUUAAAAUCUCUCAGGGAAGCUCAAGAACUCAUUUAUGUUAGCUUGUAAAUCACUGGCUCUGCACCAAAAUAUUAGACCUUUACAAGGAUCAUUGCUUUUUAAUAGGGAUAACGUGGUUCUCAACUUUGGCCAUGCAUCAAUAUCACUUAUCAUACAUUUAUAAAAUACAAAAGACUGGGCCCCACUCAAACUCUAUAAAAAACAAAAACAAAUAAACAAACAAACAAAAACCCCUCCA
rnacentral:lncRNA from 13 species